rnacentral:lncRNA from 1 species
ACAGGCCACCCAAGCUCCCAGGCUACCAUUUGGAGAUUGUUGCUUCGGAGGAAUCCUGGGUUAGGCUGCUGGAAUCUGGACCCACACUUCCGAAACCUCAGUGUUCUGAUCGAUGCUUUACAAGCUGGCUUUGCCCACCUCUCCCAUGGAACACCCUUCCUCCACUGGUCUUUUGAAAUUAUUGCUGUUGGUCUGAUUUUGCUGCAGGAAUUUUUAGUCACAAAAAGGAAAUUAUGCCUGCUAAGUGAGACAAGAUGUGAAUUGGCCUUAAAAAGGAGCAGACAUGAAUGUUAAGUGGCAGCUUUGUGCUGAAGGUGGGCAGGCGGCCUUGAGUGGCUGAAGAGGAAGACCGGGGGUGUGGAGGCGGUGGAUCCUUCUA